rnacentral:SRP_RNA from 1 species
GCCGGGCAUAGUGGUGCGCGCCUGUAAUCCCAGCUACUCAGGAGGCUGAGGCAGGAGAAUCGCUUGAACCCGGGAGGCAGGGGUUGCAGUGAGCUGGAUUGAGCCACUGCACUCCAGCCUGGGCAACAGAGUGAGAGUUUGUCUCAA